rnacentral:pre_miRNA from 1 species
AGAGAGCUUUCUUCGGUCCACUCAUGGAGUAAUAUGUGAGAUUUAAUUGACUCUCGACUCAUUCAUCCAAAUACCAAAUGAAAGAAUUUGUUCUCAUAUGGUAAAUGAAUGAAUGAUGCGAGAGACAAAUUGAGUCUUCACUUCUCUAUGCUUGGACUGAAGGGAGCUCCCU